AGCUCAGUUGGGAGAGCAAAGACUAAAUC
rnacentral:tRNA from 1 species